rnacentral:rRNA from 1 species
GCGCCUGAAGUCAAGCAAGACUACCCGCUGAACUUAAGCAUAUUACUAAGCGGAGGAAAAGAAACUAACUAGGAUUGCCUCAGUAACUGCGAGUGAAGCGGCAACAGCUCGUCUUGAAUCUCUCCUCUGGAGCGAAUUGUGAGUCACAGCCUUACGUUGGGGGCGGCGCGCAACUCGGCUGGAACGCCGGACCACGGAGGGUGCUAGUCCCGUGCCGUGCCGCCCUUGGCGAUAGGAUGUGUUAAACGAGUCGGGCAGUUUGGGAUUGCUGUCCUAACGGGAGGUAGACUCCUUCCAAAGCUAAAUAUCGACAGGAGACCGAUAGCGAACAAGUACUGUGAAGGAAAGAUGAAAAGCACUUUGAAAAGAGAGUUAAAAGACUUGAAAUCGCUGAGGAGGAAGCAGUGCGUACAGCGCAGGAAACAGUGCAAGGGGACUCACGAGUCCCUGGAAGCUGUCCCGCUGCAGAGUGCAGUAGUGAAGGCGUGAGGCUCUGAGUCGUGUGCUCGGAAGUCUGCGUCGAACUGCUGAAGGCGCUCCGGCGACUCUGCCGCUGUGCGCACUGACCCGUCUUGAAACACGGACCAAGGAGUCCAACAUGCGUGCGAGUAGGAGGGUGCACACCCCACUGCGCAACGAAAGUGAACCUGUCAGCCAGGGCCGCGACGAGCGAGCUCAGCAGGCAUGUUGGGACCCGAAAGAUGGUGAACUAUGCUUGGGAAUGGCGAAGCCAGGGGAAACUCUGGUGGAGGCUUGUAGAGAUACUGACGUGCAAU